GUUCCGAUUAUGGCUCAGAUUGAACGCUGGCGGGAUGCUGCAUGCAAGUCGAACGGCAGCACGGACUUCAGUCUGGUGGCGAGUGGCGAACGGGUGAGUAAUGUAUCGGAACGUGCCUAGUAGCGGGGGAUAACUGCCUGCUGGCGUGCUAAUACACGCUACGCCCCUUCGGGGGAAAAGCAGGGGACCUUCGGGCCUCGCACUAUUAGAGCGGCCGAUAUCGGAUUAGCUAGUUGGUGGAGUAACGGCUCACCAAGGCGACGAUCCGUAGCUGGUUUUGAGAGGACGACCAGCCACACUGGGACUGAGACACGGCCCAGACUCUACGGGGAGGCAGCAGUGGGGAAUUUUUGGACAAUGGGGGAAACCCUGAUCCAGCCAUCCCGCAUUACCCGAUGAAGACCUUCGGGUUGUAAAGCACUUUUGGCAGGAAAGAAACGGCGCGGGAUAAUACCCCGUGCAACUGACGGUACCUGCAGAAUAAGCACCGGCUAACUACGUGCCAGCAGCCGCGGUAAUACGUAGGAGUGCAAGCGUUAAUCGGAAUUACUGGGCGUAAAGCGUGCGCAGGCGGUUCGGAGAAAGAUGUGAAAUCCCAGAGCAACCACGGAACUGCAUUUUUAACUACCGAGCUAGAGUGUGUCAGAGGAAGGUGGAAUUCCGCGUGUAGCAGUGAAAUGCGUAGAUAUGCGGAGGAACACCGAUGGCGAAGGCAGCCUCCUGGGAUAACACUGACGCUCAUGCACGAAAGCAGAACCCAGAGCAGGAUUAGAUACCCUGGUAGUCCACGCCCUAACGAUGUCAACUAGCUGUUGGGGCCUUCGGGCCUUGGUAGCGCAACUAACGCGUGAAGUUGACCGCCUGGGAAGGUACGGUCGCAAGAUUAAAACUCAAAGGAAUUGACGGGGACCCGCACAAGCGGUGGAUGAUGUGGAUUAAUUCGAUGCAACGCGAAAACCUUACCUACCCUUGACAUGUCUGGAAUCCCGGGUGAGAUUUGGGAGUGCUCGCAAGAGAACCGGAACACAGGUGCUGCAUGGCUGUCGUCAGCUCGUGUCGUGAGAUGUUGGGUUAAGUCCCGCAACGAGCGCAACCCUUGUCAUUAGUUGCUACGAAGGGCACUCUAAUGAGACUGCCGGUGACAAACCGGAGGAAGGUGGGGAUGACGUCAAGUCCUCAUGGCCCUUGGGUAAGGGCUUCACACGUCAUACAAUGGUCGGGACGGAAGAUUCGCCAACCCGCGAGAGAGGGCGAUCCCAGAAACCCGAUCGUAGUCCGGAUCGCAGUCUGCAACUCGACUGCGUGAAGUCGGAAUCGUAGUAAUCGCGGAUCGGCAUGUCGCGGUGAAUACGUUCCGGGUCUUGUACACACCGCCCGUCACACCAUGGGAGUGGGUUUACCAGAAGUAGUUAGCCUAACCGUAAGGAGGGCGAUUACCACGGCAGGAUUCAUGACUGGGAGUGAAGUCGUAACAAGGUAA
rnacentral:rRNA from 1 species